rnacentral:rRNA from 1 species
CCUACGGGAGGCAGCAGUCGAGAAUAUUCGACAAUGGGCGAAAGCCUGAUCGAGCGACGCCGCGUGUAUGCCGAUGCUCUUCCCAGUGUUCCGUACCUAAAUCGGGGAAGAAGUUAUUGACGGUACCCGAUGAACAAGGGGAUGCUAAUCACGUGCCAGCAGCCGCGGUAAUAAUCA